CCCAGACAGAGAUGUAAUUACAGGAAGUUUUGGAACAAAUUGAUAAAUUAAACAAUAAUAAAUCACCAGGAUAAGAUGGUAUUCACCAAGAGCUCUGAUGAAACUUAAAUACGAAAUUAUUUACUCCUAGGGGAAUUCUGCGCCACUGCAAAUGCAGAAUUUAACAGAAAUUGGUUUUUUGUCCAU